GUAGGUGAACCUGCGGAAGGAUCAUUAAUGAAACUUCAAAGUCGGCUCUGUUCUGUGCUGGUGUGGAGACACACAUGUGCACGUCUGGGUCGCAAAUCCACACACCUGUGCAUCUUUGACUCGAGGUUGGUAAAACAACCUAGAGUACUUUUACACACUCUGAAUGUAAUGGAAUGUCUAUGUGCAAUAAUGUACAAAUAAACAACUUUCAACAACGGAUCUCUUGGCUCUC
rnacentral:misc_RNA from 1 species